AAAAUUUUAAGUUAAGCCAAACUAAUAAUUUUCAAAAUUAUAAUCAAACUUACUAGUUUAAAUUUUA
rnacentral:tRNA from 1 species